GUUCUCCGCGCCCCCCGUGCGCCGCCCGCACCAACCGAGCAGCAGUAGCCGGGGGCGGCGACCGCCUCGGCAGUAGAUCACCUGACAACGCGGACUUCGGGCUGGCCCGGCAGCCCCGAGCCCGGCCCAGCCCCCUUACCGUAAAUACCGCCGCCUGGCCACUCCCCCCGUUACCAUGGAAAAUUCUGGGAAAAAGAGAUAUCAACUAUUGAAGGAGAAAGAAGAGCUAAGGAGGUGGCCCCUGCAUGGUGUGGCCUGGAGCCCCUGCAGAUUCUGGAAAUACUCCUGCAAGAAUUGAUUCCACACAUGGACUCGCUGGCUGGAUAGGUAGGAGAACGAAUCUGGUUCUUGGCUGAAAGUAGAAGUCCUCCGAAGAAGGAAGGUUUUACGGCAAGCUAUGUGCACUAAUUUUAGAGAAAGUUCUGAGUUCUUUGCCUUAUCACCCACCCUCCUGAUAUCCUGCAAUCACAAUGUAUUAAAUCUGGCAUUUCGUGUGAUAAGCUUAUAAAAAUAAAGAAGUCAG